CCUACGGGCGGCAGCAGUGGGGAAUAUUGGACAAUGGGGGCAACCCUGAUCCAGCCAUGCCGCGUGUGUGAAGAAGGCCCUCGGGUUGUAAAGCACUUUCAGUGAGGAAGAACGCCUGGUGGUUAAUACCCAUCAGGAAAGACAUCACUCACAGAAGAAGCACCGGCUAACUCCGUGCCAGCAGCCGCGGUAAUACGGAGGGUGCGAGCGUUAAUCGGAAUUACUGGGCGUAAAGCGCGCGUAGGUGGCUUGAUAAGCCGGUUGUGAAAGCCCCGGGCUCAACCUGGGAACGGCAUCCGGAACUGUCAAGCUAGAGUGCAGGAGAGGAAGGUAGAAUUCCCGGUGUAGCGGCGAAAUGCGUAGAGAUCGGGAGGAAUACCAGUGGCGAAGGCGGCCUUCUGGACUGACACUGACACUGAGGUGCGAAAGCGUGGGUAGCAAACAGGAUUAGAUACCCCAGUAGUC
rnacentral:rRNA from 1 species